rnacentral:rRNA from 1 species
AAAUUGAAGAGUUUGAUCAUGGCUCAGAUUGAACGCUGGCGGCAGGCCUAACACAUGCAAGUCGAACGGUAACAGGAAGCAGCUUGCUGCUUUGCUGACGAGUGGCGGACGGGUGAGUAAUGUCUGGGAAACUGCCUGAUGGAGGGGGAUAACUACUGGAAACGGUGGCUAAUACCGCAUAACGUCGCAAGACCAAAGAGGGGGACCUUCGGGCCUCUUGCCAUCAGAUGUGCCCAGAUGGGAUUAGCUUGUUGGUGAGGUAACGGCUCACCAAGGCGACGAUCCCUAGCUGGUCUGAGAGGAUGACCAGCCACACUGGAACUGAGACACGGUCCAGACUCCUACGGGAGGCAGCAGUGGGGAAUAUUGCACAAUGGGCGCAAGCCUGAUGCAGCCAUGCCGCGUGUAUGAAGAAGGCCUUCGGGUUGUAAAGUACUUUCAGCGGGGAGGAAGGUGUUGCGGUUAAUAACCGCAGCAAUUGACGUUACCCGCAGAAGAAGCACCGGCUAACUCCGUGCCAGCAGCCGCGGUAAUACG